AACGAACGCUGGCGGCAUGCCUAACACAUGCAAGUCGAACGAGACCUUCGGGUCUAGUGGCGCACGGGUGCGUAACGCGUGGGAACCUGCCUUUAGGUUCGGAAUAACUCAGAGAAAUUUGAGCUAAUACCGGAUGAUAUCUUCGGACCAAAGAUUUAUCGCCUUUGGAUGGGCCCGCGUUGGAUUAGCUAGUUGGUGGGGUAAAGGCCUACCACGGCGACAAUCCAUAGCUGGUCUGAGAGGAUCAUCAGCCACACUGGGACUGGGACACGGCCCAGACUCCUACGGGAGGCAGCAGUGGGGAAUAUUGGACAAUGGGCGAAAGCCUGAUCCAGCAAGGCUGCGUGAGUGAUGAAGGCCUUAGGGUUGUAAAGCUCUUUUACCCGAGAUGAUAAUGACAGUAUCGGGAGAAUAAGCUCCGGCUAACUCCGUG
rnacentral:rRNA from 1 species